rnacentral:rRNA from 1 species
UACGUAGGUGGCGAGCGUUGUCCGGAAUUACUGGGUGUAAAGGGAGCGUAGGCGGGAAGCCAAGUCAAGUGUCAAAUCCACCGGCUCAACCGGUGGCCGCGCUUGAAACUGGUUUUCUUGAGUGAAGUAGAGGCAGACGGAAUUCCUAGUGUAGCGGUGAAAUGCGUAGAUAUUAGGAGGAACACCAGUGGCGAAGGCGGUUUGCUGGGCUUUAACUGACGCUGAUGCUCGAAAGCAUGGGUAGCAAACAGGAUUAGAUACCCCUGUAGUCCCU